AGGGGGAGCCAAUCCCAAAAAGCCAGUCUCAGUUCGGAUCGCAGGCUGCAACUCGCCUGCGUGAAGCCGGAAUCGCUAGUAAUCGCGGAUCAGCAUGCCGCGGUGAAUACGUUCCCGGGCCUUGUACACACCGCCCGUCACACCACGAGAGUUUGCAACACCCGAAGUCGGUGAGGCAACCUUUUAGGAGCCAGCCGCCGAAGGUGGGGCAGAUGAUUGGGGUGAAGUCGUAACAAGGUAUCCCUACCGGAAGGUGGGGAUGGAUCACCUCCUUUCU
rnacentral:rRNA from 1 species